rnacentral:rRNA from 1 species
AGUCUGGUGCCAGCAGCCGCGGUAAUUCCAGCUCCAAUAGCGUAUACUUAAGUUGUUGCAGUUAAAAAGCUCGUAGUUGGAUCUCGGGGCAGUGCUGAUCUGGUCCGCCUGGAUGGUGAGUACUGGUCGGCCUGUCCUUCCUUACUAGUAACUCGGCUCUGUCCUUAAGUGGGUGGGGUUUCAGCGGGGUUUCGGCUCUGUGGGGUUCUAGUUCAUUUACUUUGAAAAAAUCAGAGUGUUCAAAGCAGGCGUUUGCCGUGAAUACAUUAGCAUGGGAUAAUGGAAUAAGACCUUGUUCUUAUUUUGUUGGUUUCUAAGGACAUCGUAAUGAUUAAUAGGGACAGUUGGGGGCAUUAAUAUUUAAUUGUCAGAGGUGAAAUUCUUGGAUUUAUGAAAGAUUAACUUCUGCGAAAGCAUUUGUCAAGGAUGUUUUCAUUAAUCAAGAACGAAAGUUAGGGGAUCGAAGACGAUCAGAUACCGUCGUAGUCUUAACCAUAAACUAUGCCGACCAGGGAUUGGAUGACGUUACAUGGAUGACUCCUCCAGCACCUUGCGAGAAAUCACAAGUUUUUGGGUUCCGGGGGGAGUAUGGUCGCAAGGCUGAAACUUAAAGGAAUUGACGGAAGGGCACCACCAGGAGUGGAGCCUGCGGCUUAAUUUGACCCAACACGGGAAAACUUACCAGGUCCAGACAUAGGAAGGAUUGACAGAUUGAGAGCUCUUUCUUGAUUCUAUGGUUGGUGGUGCAUGGCCGUUCUUAGUUGGUGGAGUGAUUUGUCUGGUUAAUUCCGUUAACGAACGAGACCUUAACCUGCUAAAUAGUUAUGGGAACGCUUCGUUGCUCCGGCGGCGAUGAGUUUCUAGAUACACUUCUUAGAGGGACUAUUCGUUUCCAGCGAAUGGAAGUUUGAGGCAAUAACAGGUCUGUGAUGCCCUUAGAUGUUCUGGGCCGCACGCGCGCUACACUGAUACGUUCAACGAGUUCCACACCUUGCCCGAUGGGGUUGGGUAAUCUUUUGAAAUCGUAUCGUGCUGGGGAUAGGAGAUUGCAAUUAUUCUCCUUCAACGAGGAAUUCCUAGUAAGCGUGAGUCAUUAGCUCGCGUUGAUUACGUCCCUGCCCUUUGUACACACCGCCCGUCGCUACUACCGAUUGGAUGAACUGGUGAAAUGCUCGGAUCGAGACCGCACGCUUCUGGUUCGCCGGGGGUUUGGUUUUGAGAAGUUCAGUAAACCUAUUCAUCUAGAGGAAGUAAAAGUC